UUUGCACUGGCGAAUCGGCACGGCCAGCUCCCGUCGAACUCCCCCAGGACCGGAAGGUAGCAAGGGUAGACGGUCGUAGCGGCGCGAUGUUCGAUUCGCCUUUUU
rnacentral:SRP_RNA from 1 species